GAUGAACGCUGGCGGCGUGCCUAAUACAUGCAAGUCGAGCGAACAGACGAGGAGCUUGCUCCUUUGACGUUAGCGGCGGACGGGUGAGUAACACGUAGGUAACCUACCUAUAAGACUGGGAUAACUUCGGGAAACCGGAGCUAAUACCGGAUAAUAUUUCGAACCGCAUGGUUCGAUAGUGAAAGAUGGCUUUGCUAUCACUUAUAGAUGGACCUGCGCCGUAUUAGCUAGUUGGUAAGGUAACGGCUUACCAAGGCAACGAUACGUAGCCGACCUGAGAGGGUGAUCGGCCACACGGGAACUGAGACUCGGUCCAGACUCCUACGGGAGGCAGCAGUAGGGAAUCUUCCGCAAUGGGCGAAAGCCUGACGGAGCAACGCCGCGUGAGUGAUGAAGGUCUUCGGAUCGUAAAGCUCUGUUAUUAGGGAAGAACAAACGUGUAAGUAACUGUGCACGUCUUGACGGUACCUAAUCAGAAAGCCACGGCUAACUACGUG
rnacentral:rRNA from 1 species